GAGGAACUUCCGGGCUCCAUAGAGCACGAUGGCGGAUAACGUCCGCCCAGGGUGACCUGAGAGAUAGCGCAACAGAGAACAGACCGCCCGUCCUCGACGGGUAAGGGUGAAACGGCGGUGUAAGAGACCACCGGGCCUCUGGUAACAGUAGGUCGCAUGGCAAGCCUCAUCGGGAGCAAGGCCAAGCAGAUGGCGGUAAGGGCUGCUCGCCCGUGUCAUCGGGUAGGCUGCUAGAGCCUGACGGUAACGUCAGGUCGAGAUGGAUGGCCAUCCGUGCCGUGCGUUCGCGCACGGCACGACAGAACCCGGGGUA
rnacentral:RNase_P_RNA from 1 species